rnacentral:rRNA from 1 species
UACGGAGGAGGCAAGCGUUAUCCGGAAUUAUUGGGCGUAAAGCGUCCGCAGGUGGCACUUCAAGUCUGUCGUCAAAGACUGGGGCUUAACCCUGGAAAGGCGGUGGAAACUGAAGCGCUAGAGUGCAGUAGGGGUAGAGGGAAUUCCCGGUGUAGCGGUGAAAUGCGUAGAGCUCGGGAAGAACAUCGGUGGCGAAAGCGCUCUGCUGGACUGCAACUGACACUCAGGGACGAAAGCUAGGGGAGCGAAUGGG